rnacentral:lncRNA from 1 species
GAGGAUAUGUGCAGGCAGGUGUUCCCCGAUGGAGUUGUUCUGACAAGAUAUGCUACUUGUAUUGAAGAUUACCGAAGUACGUAUUCUUGGAGUGACUGGUCAGAUCAAAUGCAAAAUAUUAGAGCAUGCAUUUUUACUGUUGGGGGCUUAAUUCAGUCAAGUCAAGAAUGCUUAACCCUUGAAGAUUGAUGAUUGCAGUUACUUUUUUUUUUUUAUGAAAGCCAGGUACAAGACACAGCACACAGCAAAGAUAAAACCGGAAGACACCGGGUCCCAAACAAAAGCACAAGCGACUCCUGAACAAUGAAAAAAUACAAGGUAGCCCCGUGCCAGAACACGAAGAAGAACCGCGUUGAUGAAAGAUCUGGAGCAAUUUAUUCGCCGCCGCCGCCGUUGUCUCUGAAGAAAUCACCGCCGGGACGGACGAAAACCAAAGCUAUCAUGCCCUAAACCUACUGCUAUACAAGGUCCGAACGCGAUGUCCGGCGACUCCCCUACUCACUCACUGACGGCAGCGAGGGCGUCAGGAGGGCACGCAGAAGGGUCGAGACCGUGGGCUAAAACCAGAAUUAGCCUAUAGAUAUGAAACAAUUGUAUCGUAUCUUAGGUAUUGACCGAAUUGCUAUAAGAAAUUAAAACGUUGUAUCUUAGGUAUUGAUCGAAUGGCUUCAAGAGGAAGGCAAAAAUCACGGCAGGGGUGCGAAAUUGAUCGGAACCUAAGUCUGUUGGAGGCUUCAGCUGGAAAGAAGGAAGAAGACGAAAGAGGUUCGAAUACCUCAGCCCUCCAGGUCCGCGGCGCCGCUGGGCGAAGGUCUACGGGGCGACGGCCGCCGGAAUCUCACCGCCGACGCCUCUGUCCCCGCCCCCCAGUUCAUCUUUUUUUU